GGUGGUCCACCAAUGGAUGGUACUGCUCUGGCUGGGGUUCACUUUCUGGUGAGCCGGUAUGCUCUUCACUGGGUGUGCCGAGGAACCAGGACUUUUACUUUGAAAAAAUUAGAGUGUUUAAAGCAGGCCUAUGCUUGAAUACAUUAGCAUGGAAUAAUAGAAUAGGACUUUGGUUCUAUUUUGUUGGUUUCUAGGACCGAAGUAAUGAUUAAUAGGGAUAGUUGGGGGCAUUAGUAUUUAGUAGCUAGAGGUGAAAUUCUUGGAUUUAUGAAAGACUAACUUCUGCGAAAGCAUUUGCCAAGGAUGUUUUCAUUAAUCAAGAACGAAAGUUAGGGGAUCGAAGACGAUCAGAUACCGUCGUAGUCUUAACCAUAAACUAUGCCGACUAGGGAUCAGACGAUGUUACUUUACUGACUCGUUUGGCACCUUAUGAGAAAUCAAAGUUUUUGGGUUCCGGGGGGAGUAUGGUCGCAAGGCUGAAACUUAAAGGAAUUGACGGAAGGGCACCACCAGGAGUGGAGCCUGCGGCUUAAUUUGACUCAACACGGGGAAACUCACCAGGUCCAGACAUAGUAAGGAUUGACAGAUUGAGAGCUCUUUCUUGAUUCUAUGGGUGGUGGUGCAUGGCCGUUCUUAGUUGGUGGAGUGAUUUGUCUGCUUAAUUGCGUUAACGAACGAGACCUUAACCUGCUAAAUAGUUAUGCCAACUUUUGUUGGUAGUCAACUUCUUAGAGGGACUGUCGGCGAUUAGCCGAUGGAAGUUUUAGGCAAUAACAGGUCUGUUAUGCCCUUAGAUGUCCUGGGCCGCACGCGCGCUACACUGAUGA
rnacentral:rRNA from 1 species